AUUGAACGCUGGCGGCAGGCCUAACACAUGCAAGUCGAACGAGUGGCGGACGGGUGAGUAAUAUCUGGGACACUGACUGAUGGAGGGGGAUAAAUACUGGAAACGGUAGCUAAUACCGCAUACCAUCAGAUGUGCCCAGAUGGGAUUAGCUAGUUGGUGGGGUAACGGCUCACAAAGGCAACGAUCCCUAGCGGGUCUGAGAGGAUGACCAGCCACACUGGAACGGAGACACGGUCCAGACUCCUACGGGAGGCAGCAGUGGGGAAUAUUGCACAAUGGGCGAGAGCCUGAUGCAGCCAUGCCGCGUGUAUGAAGAAGGCCGUCGGGUUGUAAAGUACUUUCAGCGGGGAGGCGUUACCCGCAGAAGAAGCACCGGCUAACGCCGUGCCAGCAGCCGCGGUAAUUC
rnacentral:rRNA from 1 species